rnacentral:rRNA from 1 species
GAUGAACGCUGGCGGCGUGCCUAAUACAUGCAAGUCGAGCGAAUGGAUUAAGAGCUUGCUCUUAUGAAGUUAGCGGCGGACGGGUGAGUAACACGUGGGUAACCUGCCCAUAAGACUGGGAUAACUCCGGGAAACCGGGGCUAAUACCGGAUAACAUUUUGAACCGCAUGGUUCGAAAUUGAAAAGCGGCUUCGGCUGUCACUUAUGGAUGGACCCGCGUCGCAUUAGCUAGUUGGUGAGGUAACGGCUCACCAAGGCAACGAUGCGUAGCCGACCUGAGAGGGUGAUCGGCCACACUGGGACUGAGACACGGCCCAGACUCCUACGGGAGGCAGCAGUAGGGAAUCUUCCGCAAUGGACGAAAGUCUGACGGAGCAACGCCGCGUGAGUGAUGAAGGCUUUCGGGUCGUAAAACUCUGUUGUUAGGGAAGAACAAGUGCUAGUUGAAUAAGCUGGCACCUUGACGGUACCUAACCAGAAAGCCACGGCUAACUACGUGCCAGCCGCCGCGGUAAGAC